rnacentral:rRNA from 1 species
GAUUUCUGGUAUGACGUGUCCGGCCUAGUGUGGCAACACAUUAUGUGCCGGUGUGCGUCUGCCAUCUUUCCAGAGAACGGCGCUACCCUUUAUUGGGCCGGUGUCGCCAUCUGGAUCUUUUACUUUGAAAAAAUUAGAGUGUUUAAAGCAGGCGUUUGCUCUGAAUACAUUAGCAUGGAAUAAUAAUCUAGGACUUCGGUUCUAUUUUGUUGGUUUCUAUAACUGAAGUAAUGAUUGAUAGGGAUAGUUGGGGGUGCUAGUAUUGGCCGGUCAGAGGUGAAAUUCUUGGAUUCGGUCAAGACUAACUUAUGCGAAAGCAUU